GUGGGGAAUAUUGGACAAUGGGCGCAAGCCUGAUCCAGCCAUGCCGCGUGAGUGAUGAAGGCCCUAGGGUUGUAAAGCUCUUUCAGUGGGGACGAUAAUGACGGUACCCUCAGAAGAAGCCCCGGCUAACUUCGUGCCAGCAGCCGCGGUAAUACGAAGGGGGCUAGCGUUGUUCGGAUUUACUGGGCGUAAAGCGCACGUAGGCGGAUCGUUAAGUCGAGGGUGAAAUCCUGGAGCUCAACUCCAGAGCUGCCUUCGAUACUGGCGAUCUGGAGUCCGGAAGAGGUGAGUGGAGCUCCUAGUGUAGAGGUAGAAUUCGUAGAGAGAAGGAAGAACACCAGUGGCGAAGGCGACUCACUGGUCCGGUACUGACGCUGAGGUGCGAAAGCGUGGGGAGCAAACAGGAUUAGAAACCCCAGUAGUCC
rnacentral:rRNA from 1 species